rnacentral:rRNA from 1 species
GAUGAACGCUAGCGGCAGGCCUAAUACAUGCAAGUCGGACGGGAUUCAGGAGCUUGCUUCUGAUGAGAGUGGCGCACGGGUGCGUAACACGUAUGUAACCUACCUUUAUCAGGGGGAUAGCCUCUCGAAAGAGAGAUUAAGCCCGCAUAAAAUCACAGCACAGCAUUGUGUAAUGAUCAAAUAUUUAUAGGAUAAAGAUGGGCAUGCGGAACAUUAGCUAGAUGGCGGGGUAACGGCCCACCAUGGCGACGAUGUUUAGGGGAUCUGAGAGGAUGGCCCCCCACACUGGUACUGAGACACGGACCAGACUCCUACGGGAGGCAGCAGUAAGGAAUAUUGGUCAAUGGGCGGAAGCCUGAACCAGCCAUGCCGCGUGCAGGAAGACGGCCCUACGGGUUGUAAACUGCUUUUAUACGGGAAUAAACCCAGAUACGUGUAUCUGGCUGAGUGUACUGUAAGAAUAAGGAUCGGCUAACUCCGUG